GGGAAAGAGAGAAGCUUCAGCUCGGAGGGAGGAGGAAAGAGAAGUCUGAUUUCCUUUUUUGCUUGCUUCGGGGAAGAAUAAACAGCGGAGGACGGAGGAAAAGAGAAGCUCUUAUUCUUAUACUUGCUUGUAUUCUUAUACGUGCUUGCCCCGGUGCGGUAGGGAGAUGAAGUGCUGGCGGAGCUCGAUGAGGUCCUGGUGCGGCGUGCCGAAGCAGCCGGCGCCGAUGAUGCCGGGGAGCACGAUGACCGUGAGCUUGGCGUUCCGCGCGAAGCGCUGGAUCUGCCGCAUCCGGCACUGUUCGUGCAGCUCAUUCUGCUCUCAAAUGGAGAAAGCUCAUUCACCAUUCAUCCGCUAGAGAUGGAAGAAUAUAGGUAGGUCCCGAACAGGAGAGCGUGCGGCCAGGGAUCGAUCAGAUGAAGGGAUAUGACUAACGGCAGGACCGUCUUUUCUCGUGGCCGGUGAAUAAAGAGAAAAGAGAAAAGAGAGAAAUUGGAGAAAAAGAUGAGAAACACCUAAAAUGAAAGAAUUCGCGUGCACGGUGUCAAAUUCUAAAAGGUUUGCGAAUCGGAUGUCAAUUCUCGUGAGACGUGUGGAUUGAGUGCCAAAUUCUAAAAUUUUUCUUAUUCCGAGACCUCCGGCUCUGUAUUCAUCUGAAUCGGUUUCUUCCACCCUCUCUUGCACGGCGUCCAAAAAAACAAAUCGCGGCUCCCUGCUGCGAGAGGGACGGAAGAGAGGCGACCCUGAACGCCGCCGCCAACGCCACCACCACCGUAGGUUGUUGUCCAGGCAUUGGUUCCUCUUCAGGCCAAUUAGAGAGCAACAAGGGAGCAGCUUGUUAUAAGAUCAAAGUAGUGAAGAAUUGAGAUGCAAUCAGCACUAUUUACUCAACUGAUUAUGCCAAUGGCGAAGGUGCUUCCUUUUAUGAUGGAGAAAAUAUAUAUUAUUCUGUUAUUGCUGCACUACUUAGUAUGUUGUAAUCUUUUGUUGGUACUUGUAAGGGACCUGGAAGC